AGCCCAUUAUGCGGACAAUCUCGGACCAACUUCUUAAACCUUUCCCAAGCAUCGCUGAGAGAUUCAUACAUAUCUUGUUUAAAAUUUGUAAUAAGCUUUCUUCGUCU